rnacentral:lncRNA from 1 species
CACUUUACAGAUAAGGAGACCAAGGUGUGAAGAGGAAAGGUGAAUACUAAGGUGGAGCCAGGCCUGCAACCCAGGUCUCCUAUCUCCUGGCCCAGGCUUUUGCCUCCUGCCACGUUGCCUACUGUGAGCAGUUGGGUCCCGAGGAAAGAGUAAAGCAGAGAGGAGUGUGAGUGCAUAAGCCUGAAGAUAGAGGGUACAGUGGUUCAUUGAGAGAUUUUGGAGUCAGCAGAUCUGAUCUUACACUUACCUGUUAUGAAGAUUUUGACAAGUAAUUUCAUCUUCUCAGAGCCUAACUUCCCAGCUAUAACAUAAGAAAAAGAGGACCUUCUUAUAGUAGACACAGACCCACAGGAGCACAGUGGACCUGACCUGGCACAGAGUAGGCGCUCGGAA